CUCCAUUCCGAACUCAGAAGUGAAACGAAAUAGCGCCGAUGGUAGUGUGGGGUUUCCCCAUGUGAGAGUAGGACAUCGCCAGGCU
rnacentral:rRNA from 1 species